rnacentral:tRNA from 1 species
UGUGGUUGGGCUCAAUGGUAGAGCACUCACCUAGUGUGUGUGAUACCCUGGGUUUGAUUCUCAGCACUACAU